UAAAGGCAUGCAAUGUGAAAUAAGCAUAUCAUAAGGGGAAAUAGGAUAUCCAUCACCUCAACCAUUUAUUAUUUGAAUUACAAACAAUCCAAUUAUGUUCUUUUAGUUAUUUACAAAUAUAUAAUUAAGUUAUUAUGACUAUAAUCACCCUCUUGUACAGUCAGAUAGUAGAUCUUAUUCAUUCUAUUUUAUUGGACCCAUUAACUCUCCCCACCUCCUCCCCCCCUCAGCCUCCCACUACCUUUCCCAGCCUCUGGUAACCAUCCUUCUACUCUUGAUGUCCAUUAGUUCAAUUUAUUGGACUUUUAGAUCCCACAAAUGGGUGAGAACAUUCAACGUUUGUCUUUCUGUGCCUUAUUUCACCUAAAAUAAUGAUCUCCAGUUCCAUCUAUGUUGUUGCAAAUGAUAGAAUCUCAUUCUUUUUUAUUGCAGACUUUAUUGUGUGUAUGUAGCACAUUUUCUCUAUCAAUUCAUUUGUUGAUGGACACUUAGGUUGCUUCCAAAUGUUACCUAUUGUAAACAGUGCUGCAACAAACAUAGGAGUGCAGGUAUAUCCCUGAUAUACUGAUUUCCUGUCUUUUGGGUAUAUACCCAGCAGUGGGAUUGCUGGAUCAUAUGGUAACUCUAUUUUUAGUUUUUUGAGGAACCACCAAACUGUUCAUAGUGGUUGUACUAAUUUACAUUUUAACCAACAGUAUACAAGGGCUUCCUUUUCUCCACAUUUUCACCAGCAUUUGUUACUGCCUGUCUGUUGAAUGUAAGACAUUUUAACUGGGGUGAGAUGGUAUCUUACUGUACUUUUUAUUUGCAUUUACCUUAUGAUCGAUGAUGUUGAGCACCUUUUCAUGUGAUUGUCACUUCUAUGUCUUCUUUUGAUCAAUGUCUAUUCAGAUCUUUUGCUCACUUUUUGAUUGGAUCAUAUUUUUUUCUUUUGAAUUGUUUGAGCUCCCUAUAUAUUCUGCUUAUUAAUCCCUUGUCAGAGGGGUAGUUUGCAAAUAUAUUCUCCUAUUCUGUGCAUUGUUGAUUGUAUUAUUUGCUGUGCAGAAGUUUUUUAACUGGAUGUAAUCUCAUUUGUCCAUGUUUGCUUUGAUUACCGGUGCUUGUGGGGUAUUACUCAGAAAAUCUUUGCCCAGAUCAAUGUCCUGGAGAUUUUCUCCAAUAUUUUCUUGUAGUAGUUUCAUAGUUUGAGGUCUCAGAUUAAAGUCUUUAAUGCAUUUUAAUUUGAUUUUUGUAUAUGGUGGAAGAUAGAGGUUUAGUUUCAUUCUUUUGCAUAUCGAUAUCCAGUUUUCUCAGCAUCAUUAAUCUAAGACUUUUUCCUCGUGUAUGUUCUUGGCUCCUUUAUAAAAAUAAGUUAGGAGGCUCACACUUGUAAUCCCAGCAGUUUGGGGGGCCAGGCAAAUGGAUCUCUUGAGGUCAGGAGUUUGAGACAAGCUUGGCCAACAUGGUGAAAACCUGUCUCUACUAAAAAUACAGAAUCAGUUGAGCCCAGGAGGUGGAGGUUGCAGUGAGCCAAGAUUACACCACUGUACUCCAGCCUGGGCAACAGAGCAAGACUCUAUCUCAAAAAAAAAAAAAGUUCACUCUAGAUAAAUGGAUUCAUUUAUAGGUUCUCUAUUCUGUUCCAUUGGUCCGUCUGACUCCUUUUUAUUCCAGUGCCAUGCUGUUUUGCUUACUGUAGCUCUGUAGUAUAAUUUGAAGUCAGGUAAUGUGAUUCCUCCAGUCUUGUCAUUUUUGCUUAGGAUAGCUUUGGCUAUUCUAGGUCUUUUGUGGUUCCAUAUAAAUUGUAGGUCUGAUUUUUCCAUUUCUGUGAGGAAUGUAAUUGGUAUUUUGUUGGGGAUUGCAUUGAAUCUAUAGAUUGCUUUGAGUAGUAU
rnacentral:lncRNA from 10 species